rnacentral:rRNA from 1 species
UUUGUUCCUUUUGGGGGGAAGGCUUUUGGGAAGGGGGGGGAGAACGUUUGCAUAAUGCCUGGGUUACCGGGCUCAUCCCUGGGGAGAACAAAUAGUACCGGAUGUUAAACCGGAUUUAGCGCACUGUAUCACAGGUUAUGGUGGAUAAAACUCCGGUGAUAUGUGAUGUAGCCGCGUGUGAGUAGAUAGUCGCAGAGAUAACAGCCCUCCAUGGCGAUGAUCAGUAGCCGUCCUGCGAGGGUGACCGGACACAUUGUGCAUGAUACUCGGCCCGACCUCAUACAGGAGUCAGCAUUGGUGAAUAGUGCCCAAUGGAGGACACUCUGAUGCAGCGACGCCGCGUGAGUGAAGAAGUAUUUCGGUAUGUAAAGCUAUAUCAGCAGGGAAGAAUAAAAUGACGGUACUUGACUAAGAAGCCCCGCCUAAUUAUUUGCCAGCAGCAGCGGUAAUAAUUAGGAGGCUAGCGUUAUCAUGAUUUACUGGGUGUAAAGAGAGGACAGUCGGUCUGAUAAGUAUGAUGUGAAAGCCCGGGGCUCAUCCCCGGGAUCGCAUUAGAAACUGUCGGAGUCGAGUAUUGGAGAGGUAAUUGGAAUUCUUAGUGUAGCGGUGAAAUGAGUAGAUAUUAUGAGGAACACCUGUGGUGAAGGAGGCUUAUUGGACGACAAUUGACGAUGAGGCUGGUAAGAAUGGGGAGCAUACAGCAUUAGAUACUAUGGUAGUCCUCGCCGUAAUCGAUGAAUAAUAGGUGUCGGGCGACACAGUCAUUCAGUGCCGCAGCAAACGC